rnacentral:rRNA from 1 species
GCCUAACACAUGCAAUGUCGAACGCGAAAGGGGAGCAAUCCCUGAGUAGAGUGGCAAACGGGUGAGUAACACGUGGGUGACCUGCCUUCGAGUGGGGGAUAACGUCCCGAAAGGGACGCUAAUACCGCAUGACAUCCUGCCUUUGGACAGGCGGAGAUCAAAGCUGGGGAUCGCAAGACCUGGCGCUUGAAGAGGGGCCCGCGCCUGAUUAGCUAGUUGGUGAGGUGACGGCUCACCAAGGCGACGAUCAGUAUCCGGCCUGAGAGGGCGGACGGACACACUGGGACUGAGACACGGCCCAGACUCCUACGGGAGGCAGCAGUGGGGAAUUGUUCGCAAUGGGCGCAAGCCUGACGACGCAACGCCGCGUGGAGGAUGAAGAUCUUCGGGUCGUAAACUCCUGUCGAGCGGGAAGAACGCCUUGUGGGUUAAUAGCCCGCAGGGGGUGACGGUACCGCUAAAGGAAGCCCCGGCUAACUCCGUGCCAGCAGCCGCGGUAAUACGGGGGGGGCAAGCGUUGUUCGGAAUUACUGGGCGUAAAGGGCUCGUAGGUGGCCAACUAAGUCGGACGUGAAAUCCCCAGGCUCAACUUGGGAACUGCGUCCGAUACUGGAUGGCUUGAAU